rnacentral:rRNA from 1 species
UACGUAGGGUGCGAGCGUUAAUCGGAAUUACUGGGCGUAAAGCGUGCGCAGGCGGUUUUCCAAGUCCGUUGUGAAAGCCCCGGGCUCAACCUGGGAAUGGCAGUGGAAACUAGGGGACUGGAAUCUGGCAGAGGGGGGUGGAAUGCCGCGUGUAGCAGUGAAAUGCGUAGAGAUGCGGCGGAACACCGAUGGCGAAGGCGGGUCUCUGGGCCGAUACUGACGCUGAGGAGCGAAAGCGUGGGGAGCGAACAGG